rnacentral:lncRNA from 1 species
UUCAUUUGCUCCAUAUAAUUCUGCUUCACCUUUGCUUGCAGAUCUUUCUACUGGAAGUCAGCAGAAUGCCUCUGUCUGGAGAAAUGUGUGUUGACCAAAGGGAAAGAUUGGCUCAAGUGAGAACCGUGAUGGCUACCAGCAUCAGCUCCCUAGAUACUCUCAAAGCAAGGCCAGGCCCUAUUCAGGAAGCAGACGCAUUUUUCCUCAACUCUCCUAUUCAGGCAUUAACAGUGUGUAAAUGCAAUGUAAGCGCAACCUACAACAGCACGAAGUUAGCAGAAGGAAAAUGGACUCAGGAGCCUAGCAAAAGAAGGGAGCCUACAAAAAAAAGCAAACAAGGGAAAAAUAAAAGGAAAUAUAGCAUCAUAUAUCAUGCAUGGUGAGGUGAGACCCUUAGAGGGUUGAAUCAUUCAGAUAAUGUGUUAUCAUCAGGGUUUGGCCUCUGUGGUUGAUGGCUCAGCCUUGGCAACUGCCCCGGGGGAAGCUGCCUGCCCCAGCCUCUUAGAGAACAGUCUCACAAGCCCUGAUUGAAGACCUCAUCAGCCACUUUUGUUCAGUCCUGGGUGACCACGCAAGACAUGUUUAGAUUUUUGCUGCUUCUUUAAAUAACCAAAUAGAAGUCUGUAUUUGUCCUUAAAGAAAACAUUCAAAACCCACCCCACCAAUAUCAGAGUGACUCUCUUGUUCUGUGGAAAUUUACAGAACAGCAGCACAAGAAAAUCCCUCGGAAAUAAAAGCAUGUAAAAAAAGAUGGAAAACUGAAUU